UGGAACACCAAGAACACUGUCCGUGAUAAGCCAGUGCAGUAAUUGGAAGUGUUUGUGAUGAUGUGAAGGCAGAGUCUGGAGGCCUCCAAGGUGAGACAAGGCAGGCAAUCAACGUGUCAAGGAGGGCAACCACAAAGUGGAAUACAACUUGGAACUGACAAGAGAAGUCACCUGUCCCUGUAGAUAUAAUGUCUGCUCUGAUGAAGCACACACCCUUCACCAUCUCAGCGAUUUCAUAUGCACUCUGCACCGAGCUUAGAUGAGAUCACACAGCCCAGCUCACUGACCUCACACAGACUGGAACUCUG
rnacentral:lncRNA from 1 species